rnacentral:rRNA from 1 species
UUUGAGACCGGCGCACGGGUGCGUAACGCGUAUGCAAUCUACCUUUCACAGAGGGAUAGCCCAGAGAAAUUUGGAUUAAUACCUCAUAGUAAUACGACUUGGCAUCAAGAUGUAUUUAAAGAUUUAUCGGUGAAAGAUGAGCAUGCGUCCCAUUAGCUAGUUGGUAUGGUAACGGCAUACCAAGGCUACGAUGGGUAGGGGUCCUGAGAGGGAGAUCCCCCACACUGGUACUGAGACACGGACCAGACUCCUACGGGAGGCAGCAGUGAGGAAUAUUGGACAAUGGGCGCAAGCCUGAUCCAGCCAUGCCGCGUGCAGGAUGACGGUCCUAUGGAUUGUAAACUGCUUUUAUACAGGAAGAAACACCUCUACGUGUAGAGACUUGACGGUACUGUAAGAAUAAGGAUCGGCUAACUCCGUGCCAGCAGCCGCGGUAAUACGGAGGAUCCAAGCGUUAUCCGGAAUCAUUGGGUUUAAAGGGUCCGUAGGCGGUCAGGUAAGUCAGUGGUGAAAGCCCAUCGCUCAACGGUGGAACGGCCAUUGAUACUG